AGGAGGAACGUGUGGAAGAAGCCCCUCUUGCAGUGGAACGUGCCCACCUGGCUUUUAAUCUUCACCACCUCCAGGGGCGACGUGACGGUUCUGCUGAAGAACCCGGCGAACCCGACGCACAAGAAGCUCUGGGAGGCGAUGACAUCUAAACAUAGAGAGAGCGAGGAGGAGGCCGUCUCCUGUCCCCCUGUCCCGAGCAGCAGCGGUGUCAUGUGACCGACUCGCGUCACUCGGACCACGGAGGAGCGACUCCCUCCCCUGCCGGGCUGACAACCUCAGAUGCAUGCCAUGGAGCCCACCUUCUGUCUGCGGCUGGACCACUUGGCUGCUCCACAAAGGCUUUCUGGAAUAACAGAGCCGACCAAAGGAAAUGACAGCCUGAUCACACGGAGUCCCCCUGUGUGAAUGGGACACUGGCUUUUCACUUCAUUUUGAUACAGUGGAGGAGAUUACAGUACAAGUGCAGAGCUAACUACUGCUCUGAGAUAUGUAGACACUCAACUUAUAUUUCCUACUAGCUUUACGGGCAAUCAAGCUACAAGUUGGAAGGUCAGGGGCAUUUGAAUAUAGCAAAUGACUACAAUUCUGAGAGCCAGUAUGAAAAGUCAUUAACUUGAUUUAACAAAAGAAUGUCAUGAUGAAAGAUGUCACUUUGGAAAAUUCUUUGAUCUCACUGUCAUACCUGUGUAGUUUGCAAUACACAAGAUAAUGGGACGGGUUUUCUUUAAAGAUAAGUGGCGUGACGUAGACUCAUGCUGCAGCUUAUCAAUUAAUGCUUCAGCAAUCAAGCAGGACACCACCAAGAAUCUGUUGUGUCCUAAAUGUCCUUCCUCUGCCCCUCACAUUGUCGCCAUGGUACACAGAUAGAGCACUGCCUUCUUCCUGUAUGUAUAGCCCCCUCCUGAAUGAACACUUCCUCCACGAGGCAAAGUAGUGCGGGAGCAGGCUGCGUGCCUUUGUGUCUCAGGGACCGGGCACGUAGCAGUAGGUGUAGGCUGGCUGAGGCAUUGUCAUGCUCUGGAUGUCAUGCGCAAGUCAUCCCUUGAUCUCCCACUUUGAAGUGCAUUGCGACAGGACCCAAGAGAGCAGUGUGUGAACUCACGGUGGUCAACAGGGGGCGCAGGAUACCAGGGAGGCUGCAUGGAGGCCAGAGUUGCUGCCUCACAGACUGGUGCCAGGCUCAUAGACUGCAGCAAUAAAAUUCUCACCUCAUUAUCUGAGACAGUCACAUCACAGGCUUGU